UGGGGAAUCUUGCACAAUGGGGGAAACCCUGAUGCAGCGACGCCCCGUGAGCGAUGAAGGUUUUCGAAUCGUAAAGCCCUGUCCUAUGGGAAGAUAAUGACGGUACCAUGGGAGGAAGCCCCGGCUAACUACGUGCCAGCAGCCGCGGUAAUACGUAGGGGGCGAGCGUUGUCCGGAAUUACUGGGCGUAAAGGGUUCGCAGGCGGCAUGGCAAGUCCGAUGUAAAAGGCGAAGGCUCAACCUUCGUAAGCAUCGGAAACUGUCAAGCUUGAGUGAAGGGGAGGCAAGUGGAAUUCCUAGUGUAGCGGUGGAAUGCGUAGAUAUUAGGAGGAAUACCGGUGGCGAAGGCGACUUGCUGGACUUCAACUGACGCUGAGGAACGAAAGCGUGGGUAGCAAACAGG
rnacentral:rRNA from 1 species